AUUGAACGCUGGCGGCAGGCCUAACACAUGCAAGUCGAGCGAGCGGCGGACGGGUGAGUAAUGUAUGGGGACUGCCCGAUAGAGGGGGAUAACUCCUGGAAACGGUAGCUAAUACCGCAUACUAUCGGAUAACCCAUAUGGGAUUAGCUAGUAGGUGAGGUAAUGGCUCACCUAGGCGACGAGCCCUCGCUGGUCUGAGAGGAUGAUCAGCCACACUGGGACGGAGACACGGCCCAGACUCCUACGGAGGCAGCAUUGGGGAAUAUUGCACAAUGGGGGCAAGCCUGAUGCAGCCAUGCCGCGUGUAUGAAAAAGGCCUUCGGGUUGUAAAGUACUUUCAGUCGGGAGGCGUUACCGACAGAAGAAGCACCGGCGAACUCCGUGCCAGCAGCCGCGGUAAUUC
rnacentral:rRNA from 1 species